GCGACAUCCGGCACCGAGGCAGUCCGGGCUCCGCACUCUGUUCGGGCUCCGGUGCAGCGCGACGCGGCUCCGGAGAGACCGAGCGACUCGACCAGUUCACCCAGAUCCGGAUUCACCCCGGGAGGGGAUGGACUGAACCGAUCCGACAUCUGAGGGUCUGAGGCCCGAUGGAAGCUGCGACACAUCCGGACCCGGAGCGUCUGGAUCCCGGUUCCUGAUCCGUGUGGGGGGGUCUCGGUGUUUUUCGGUUCCGGUCGGAUCCUCGUCCGCGUUCUGGUCUGGAUUAAAACGAUCAUGAAUCAUCCGCCUCCGCUCCUCUAAUCUGGAUUUAAAUCUGAGAUCGGAUCUGGAUUAGUCUGCUCCUGGUUCUGAUCGGGUCACAUCUAACCCGGUCUGAACCGGUCCUGGUCCCGGUGUGAUCUUUGGUCCUCUCUGGUCCCGGUUCCCUCUGCUGUCAUCAUGCCGACGUCCCGGCCUGGUUCUGAGCCGGUGGAGUUCUGGGUCGAGGGUUCGAGGCGGGACGGGACGGUGGAGGAGUUCUACACCCUGAGCUCCGAGCUGGGCAGAGGAGCCACGUCCAUCGUUUAUCGCUGUGAAGAGAAACAGACUCAGAAACUCUACGCUGUCAAAGUCCUGAAGAAAACGAUUGACAAGAAAAUAGUUCGUACAGAAAUCGGAGUCUUGCUGCGUCUGACGCAUCCGAACAUCAUCCAGCUGAAGGAGAUCUUUGAGACAGACACUGACAUCGCUCUGGUUCUGGAGCUCGUGACUGGAGGAGAGCUGUUUGACAGGAUCGUGGAAAGAGGUUACUACAGCGAGAGAGACGCCGCUCACGUCAUCAAACAAAUCCUGGAGGCUGUGGCGUAUUUACAUGAACAUGGCGUGGUGCACCGUGACCUGAAACCAGAGAACCUGCUGUAUGCCGACCUGUCACUGGACGCUCCGCUCAAGAUAGCCGACUUUGGUCUCUCCAAAAUCAUCGAUGACCAAGUUACCAUGAAGACGGUCUGUGGUACCCCGGGAUACUGCGCUCCAGAGAUUCUGAGGGGAAACGCCUACGGACCUGAAGUGGACAUGUGGUCAGUGGGCGUCAUCCUCUACAUCCUACUGUGUGGGUUCGAGCCCUUCUUCGACCCGAGGGGCGAUCAGUACAUGUACAGCAGAAUCCUCAACUGUGACUACGAGUUUGUGUCUCCGUGGUGGGACGAGGUUUCCCUCAAUGCCAAGGACCUGGUGAGCAAGCUGAUCGUGCUGGACCCUCACAAGCGCCUCAGUGUCCGGGAGGCUCUGCACCAUCCCUGGGUGCUGGGGAAGGCCGCCCGCUUCUCACACAUGGACACCACUCAGAGGAAACUACAGGAGUUCAAUGCUCGGCGUAAGCUCAAGGCUGCCAUGAAGGCCGUCGUAGCCACCAGCCGCAUGCACGAGGGAUCGCGGCGUCGUACCGACAGCUGUGAGAUUCCAGGCUCAGGGGCUUCAAGGCAGAGCAGCAUGCAGCAGGACCAGCCUCCUGAUUCCACAGACGCCGCCCCUUCAGACCAUGAAGCCCCGCCCUCAGAUCAACAGCCACAAGACGCCGAAUCAAAGCCCACCGACAAAAGUGCUCAUAGCCCCUCGUCUCCACGUGUUCUCAAACCCCCCAGCUCUGAUGUCACGGCCACUGAGGCCCCCCCCACUAGGCCGCCGCUGCGGGCCGACGGGCUGCGGCAGGCGUCCGUCUGUCCUAAGACUGUGCUGGUCCAACCCCGACUGCCGCAAAAGAGCUGCUCCAUGGUAGAGCCCACCUCCAGAGUCGAGGCCACGCCCUCGAGUCCCAGCAGCCUCACUAAUGGCUUCACGCCAGUGGUGGAACCAGCCAGUAAGAUGCCCCAUGGCCAGUGAUCACCUGACAGAGUGGCCCCAGUUUCAUACAAUCACAACAAUCACGAGGUUCCAACUUCUUUCAUUUAAAACAUUUUUCCUGUAGCCACCUCUUCCAAUGCUACUCCAUCAGCUGUUGCUAACAUGCUAACAGCUACACACUCACAGUUGCUUUCUACCUGCGGUUGAGCUGCUGGUUUUUCGAGGCUAAAGGCUAACUGAACCGGAUCCUCCCAAACAUCCUCUAAACGCAGCCUUCGGGUGAAACCCGGUUUCUCGUGGUUAUGACGUGAGAAGUAGUGUUAACGUUAGUGGGCGUGGUCAAGUAUGAGCAGAAUGGUUUAGGGCCAACACGCUGCAGGAAGUCAAACAAGGCUCAUUGACCCGGAGAAGAGUCAAUUCCUUUGAUGGAAAAUUAAGAAAAUCAAGAAACUUUACAAAAUGUUAUUUUGUUAUCAAUGAAAAGUGAACUUCCAUGAAAACGAGUCAGUGUUCAUAGUCUCUGUUUCUGUGGCGGUGACAACCACCAGAGGGCAGCAUUCACAUAGACUUCUAUCAUAUCAAUAGUAAGGAAACUUUUCUGCUAAACUCUGACCUCUUGCUGAAUACUGUUGUGAUAUUAUCAUAAAUGAUAAUUUUCCAGUUGUGUGUAAAACAUUGCUGUUUUAGUCAAGAGAUUAAAUAUGUCUCUGAAUAUAUAAUUAUAGUGUUAAUGUUGGAUUUUAUUGGUGGUUUAUCUUCCAUUAAUAACAAUUAUCACGAAAUGUAAGAAGUCGGAGGCUGGUUACGUAAACUCACGUGUUAAACGAUACGACAUGAGUGCAUCAUCAUGAACCUGAGACCCUCAGACUCUUCAGGCUCAGAUCAAACUAAGUCUCUGAGUUUGGUUCUAACCACAUAAAGAAAAGUUUAACAGCUGAAUGUGAACCAGUGAAGUGAAGCGGUUCUGGACACGUGUGGAAUCCACUUGCUGUUAACUCAGGUUCAUAACGUUAUGUUGCUGGGAGCAGAUCUUAGGUUCUGAUCUGAGAUCUGAAGCCUCAUGUCUUUGAUCCAUAUUUCCUUUGAUCUGUUCUGGUUUCAGUUGUAACUUAGAGACUAAAGAACGAACGUCCUGUCGUCAUCACCUGCGUGGGCGGAGCCUACCUGUACUUGACUCUGAUGGUUCGUAGGCGGCGUCUGACAUGGGCGUGUUGUCAGCUGGGGGGGGGGGGGGGGGUAGUCUUUCUGUUUGAAUGGAGGAAAGGAGUGAAGCUUCACCUGUUUGCCAUGGUAACAUCAUGAUGGUAUCACUAGCAGCAUCAGCCCCUCCAGGCGCAGUACUCCACAGUACUACAGUACUCCACAGUACUCUGAAUGGGGCUUCCAAUAGAGGAAACAAACCAACGGUGGCUCAGACACUUCAACUGCACAGCGGAGCUUAGCCGAGUCAUGUGACUGAUCAGAACCAAUCAGGAAGAGAACGUCUGCGUCAUCGUUAACUAAAGUCCCAGUUUCUGUUCAGACUGAAACGAGACCAGUUUAUACCAGUUUACAUCAGUUUACACCAGUUUGAACCAGUUUGAACCAGUUUGAACCAGUCUCCGGUUCAGAGGCUGGAAAACUACACCAGGUGUAACCCUAGCAACAAGGAUGAGGUUUAAAAGGGGGCGGAGCUGUCAAGCAGCUGUUGUCUUGUGAUCGCUGUGUGUGUUGUUCUGUCUCAGCCACCGUACAAACAUGUUGGUCCCUUUAAAGAGGAAGUGAACACAAACCUCUGACCUCUGACCUGAGGCUGAGGGGCUCUGAUUGGUCGAGGAGCUCUGACAGAUGUGUGUGUUCCUCAGGUGAGAAACUCGGGCGAAUCUUUACUCUUCUGUACAAACAUGAAUAUUUUACUUAUAUUAAUCUGCCUGUGGGGGCGUGGUUGAGGUUGGGGUGGGCGGGGCCUUGCCUGUAAACGUAUCGUCUUGUGUUUGAUAAACCUGUAGCUCUUUUAUUUUGAAGGAUGAAACCUGUAGCUCUUUUAUUUUGAAGGAUGACCUAUAAACUGUCAUUGCAUGUAUUAUUUAAUUUUGUUGAUCGAAUCAGAUUAAAGCAGGUUGAACUGA